rnacentral:rRNA from 1 species
UACGUAGGGUGCAAGCGUGACUCGGCAUCACUGGGCGUAAAGGGUGCGUAGGCGGGUUAUCAAGUCUCGAGUGCAAUCCAACGGCUUAACCGUUGAACUGCUUGGGAAACUGGUAGCCUAGAGUGAGGGAGAGGCAGAUGGAAUUGGUGGUGUAGGGGUAAAAUCCGUAGAGAUCACCAGGAAUACCCAUUGCGAAGGCGAUCUGCUGGAACUCAACUGACGCUGAGGCACGAAAGCGUGGGGAGCACACAGGAGGAGAUACCCCGGUAGUCC